GCGAGGAUGGUGAAAUUGGUAGACACGCCAGACUUAGGAUCUGGAGCCGCUGGCAUAGGGGUUCGAGUCCCCUUCCUCGCA
rnacentral:tRNA from 1 species